UACAGAGGUCUCAAGCGUUGUUCGGAUUCAUUGGGCGUAAAGAGCUCGUAGGCGGUUUGUCGCGUCUGCUGUGAAAUCCUCAGGCUCAACCUGGGGCUUGCAGUGGGUACGGGCAGACUAGAGUGCGGUAGGGGUGACUGGAAUUCCUGGUGGAGCGGUGAAAUGCGCAGAUAUCAGGAGGAACACCCGUAGCGAAGGCGGCACUCUGGGCCGGAACUGACGCUGAGGAGCGAAAGCGUGGGGAGCGAACAGG
rnacentral:rRNA from 1 species